ACGGGUGAGUAACACGUGGGUGAUCUGCCCUGCACUUUGGGAUAAGCCUGGGAAACUGGGUCUAAUACCGAAUACACCUCGCUGGCUGCAUGGCCUGGUGGGGGAAAGCUUUUGCGGUGUGGGAUGGGCCCGCGGCCUAUCAGCUUGUUGGUGGGGUGAUGGCCUACCAAGGCGACGACGGGUAGCCGGCCUGAGAGGGUGUCCGGCCACACUGGGACUGAGAUACGGCCCAGACUCCUACGGGAGGCAGCAGUGGGGAAUAUUGCACAAUGGGCGCAAGCCUGAUGCAGCGACGCCGCGUGAGGGAUGACGGCCUUCGGGUUGUAAACCUCUUUCAGCAUCGACGAAGCGCAAGUGACGGUAGAUGCAGAGGAAGCACCGGCCAACUACGUGCCAGCAGCCGCGGUAAUACGUAGGGUGCGAGCGUUGUCCGGAAUUACUGGGCGUAAAGAGCUCGUAGGUGGUUUGUCGCGUUGUCCGUGAAAACUCACAGCUUAACUGUGGGCGUGCGGGCGAUACGGGCAGACUGGAGUACUGCAGGGGAGACUGGAAUUCCUGGUGUAGCGGUGGAAUGCGCAGA
rnacentral:rRNA from 1 species